UGAACUCAAAACUGUGAUCUUAAUCUGCCUCCCACGCUUCAGUUCUCUUCUGUUCUCCCAAAAUCUUUAUAUGUUCUUCACAAAGCUUCAGCAGGAGGGGCAGAGUACUUUCAACUCCAGUACAGCCUGUUCUGAGGAGAUUCUCAAGCUGUCCUUGUCUUGGUCUCUGGCCCUGCAAUCCGUAUCAAUGGAGUACAGAUGUUAGCAGCAGGUCUCACAGAUAUUUUCUGGUGAAACAGUCAGUGCUAAACCCAGAGUUUGGGGGUUUUCCAUGAUUUGAGCAAAAUACGACUGGGCAGUUGGACUCUGCACUCCUGGGCUGCUUCAGUCCAGCUCCUCCUGUCUCCACGUCUGACUUAUCUUCUCCCAUCCAUAUCUUUGUCUGGAGGCUCUGCAGCAGUGAUGACAGAGCAACAUCUUUCAAGACCAUUUCAGUGCAGAAUAUCAAACAUAGCUGCUGUUACAGAGGGUGCAAGACUGAUCUCCAAGUUCAGCUGGGAAAUCCAUGG